CUUGCUUCUUGGCCUUUUGGCUGAGAUCAAGUAUAGUGUUUGUUCUUAUCAGAAAUAUGGUAAAUAGGAAAAAUGAAAUAAAAGCAUAAAUAAGCCCUA
rfam:Homo sapiens chromosome 5, GRCh38 reference primary assembly.